CAGCAGCCACGGGAAUACGAAGGGGGCUAGCGUUGCUCGGAAUGACUGGGCGUAAAGAGCGCGUAGGCGGCGAUCAAAGUCAGGCGUGAAAUUCCUGGGCUCAACCUGGGGGCUGCGCUUGAUACUUGGUUGCUUGAGUGGGGAAGAGGGUCGUGGAAUUCCCAGUGUAGAGGUGAAAUUCGUAGAUAUUGGGAAGAACACCGGUGGCGAAGGCGGCGACCUGGUCCUUGACUGACGCUGAGGCGCGAAAGCGUGGGGAGCAAACAGGAUUAGAUACCCCCGUAGUCCAUGUCUCUUAUAC
rnacentral:rRNA from 1 species